rnacentral:rRNA from 1 species
GACAGAGGGGGCAAGCGUUGCUCGGAAUUACUGGGCGUAAAGGGCGCGUAGGCGGGGUGGCAAGUCGGUCGUGAAAUCCCUCGGCUCAACCGAGGAACGUCGAUCGAUACUGCUGUUCUUGAGGAUUGCAGAGGAGACUGGAAUUCCCGGUGUAGCGGUGAAAUGUGUAGAGAUCGGGAGGAACACCGGUGGCGAAGGCGGGUCCCUGGGCAAUUCCUGACGCUGAGGCGCGAAAGCGUGGGGAGCAAACGGG